ACCGUGUGCUCGUCUCUUCAUUCAGUGUGUUUUCCAGUACAGAGGAUUUUCCUUGGCUGUGAAGUGCUUGGCUCUAUGUGCACCAAGGACAGACUUUAUUACACUGAAGGAAUUCACAGUGUUCAGUGGAAGAGAUGUCAGAAACUCAAGAACUAAAAUAACACUGCUUGAGUGCAUUAUACCAAUGCCAGUUCUGAUCGAAUUUUGGAUGUUUCAUUUCUGGAAUGCGUACAGGUGUAGUUUGACGGUGCAAAGACUGGAUGCAAGAAAUCCAAAAUCUCUGAGAGAGUGUGUUCCAAUCUGGCAACCGUUCAGCCGGGUUGCCAGAUGAAUUCAUUGAUUUAAUGCGACAGAGCAUAUGGAGUGACAUCGCUCUCAAACAAAACAAAGCCAAAACUCGGGCAAGUUCGCACCCUGACCGUUUUUGGUGUAAAGUCCUGUCUCCGGAUAUACUUGCAGGAAACAAAGAGAUGAAUCUGCUGAACAGAAAGCAAACGCUGUUCCUGGUGCGAGGGUUAUUGAGCCCUGAGAGGGCCUGUGUGGGCACACGCCCAGACUGAAUCACGAGAUGCUAAUCUGCGCUCUUUCUCAAUGAGAGAAAAGCCUUCGUGCUGAGAGCGUUUGUGCUGCCAGUCGGUGGAUUCUAAGAAAAGUGGGUGUGCACUUGUUCUUUGUGCCUGAAGCUCAUCUACCUUUGAAUACCAUUAAGUUACAUAUUUUAGGGAUAUUAUAUCUGUUACAUGGUUAUUGGUUAUAUCAAGGAAAGUGCAGUAUUUUCUAAAAGAGAUGCGGGCUGGAAUUUAAACAAUGUUUUUCCUUAUCUUUGACUAACCGUGAAUUCAGUAUUUUUCUUCAAAAGCAGUUUGCCCUAAAGCUAACUCACCAAACUGAGCUUGUGCAGAAUAUGGACAACACUUUUUUAUCUAAUUGCAUCACAGCUAAAGACAAGUGUUAAUUAAAUACAAGCCAGAGGGUUGGCCAAACUAAAAUGUGACUAGAACCACCCAGUCUUGUUGGUUGCACGAGUAGAUUCUUGGGGCAAAGAAUUCACAUUGCUAACUAAUAUUUUGAGAAUGAGUUUAAGUGCCAGAACGGCCUUUCAAACAUGUAGCUAUUUGUAUGAGCUGAAUGCAAAACACCAAACAUAGAAAAACUGACCUGCAGCAAUGUUUAUAAUGCACUAUUCUUGUAACAGAGGUUUAGGUCAUGCAUUGAAUGGGUAGAAUUGGGUGGCUGCCCUCUAGUGGACAAAUGUCAUUACUGCGGUAGUAGCCCAGUUCAGCGAGAACUGCUUCAUUUUAUUACACACUACAAAUGGCGUCUGUUUUUUAGCAGCUGUACUUGUAGCUGCCGCCUGUUCACGAGUGUAUUUCAGGGGAGAGACGAAUAUGGUGGAACCAACAUUCAUGAGCAGAAAAAAAAAAAAAUUUAGUAAUUAUAUCGACAGUCGAUAUUAACCAUGCAACUGCACAAUCCUCUUACCUCCUGAUGUGUUGAUGUUUACUUGUAUGUUUUCCUAUGUAACAAGAAUGUCUCCUCCGUAUUCCAGCAAGCUAACGUUCAUUUGGGGAUCGCGCAGGGACCUUAUCUCAGAGUCUAUGAAACUAUGUGGGCUUUCUGGAACUAUUUAGACGAUGCGAGUGGGUGCAUUUGUGUUCUACUUAUGCAUUCUUGUGUGGGUGACUGGGAAUGCUAAACUGAAGUAUACAGCUGCCAACUCACUGUAAUUUCAAUUCAUUUCUGUGGGUAAAAUGGGCCGAACACCGCACACAUUUCUCCUGACACAUUUAGGAAACAUUUAAUGUACACUAUCUGGAAUAUUUACACAGGAAGGUUAGCUUUAGAUAACAUUGUUCGACGAGAUUCAAACGCAUUCGACCUUAUGGUCAGAUGGUAUUCAAGCCUUUCUAUGUAAGUGGCACGUGUUUAUUGUUAUUAUCGAUUUGCUCACGAUUAAUUAUUAAUAAUGCCUGUGCUGACUUUAUUUGCUUAGAUGUAGCUUGCACUGGAAAAUUUUCAUAUCGCUGGCAUUUGACAUAUUAUCCAAGCAGGGGUGGACAUUUGGCUGAAGUCACGGGGGUGAAGGAGGUGGCUUUGCGGGCACGACGCCAGCGUAGCCGCGUACCAUCGGCUCGGCUCACUUGCACCGCUCCGCACCAGAAACAUGACUGCAUUCAUUUGAGCUUGUUUGUGACCUUUGCUCCUUCUGCCCACCGCCCUCCCGAGAACAGAGCGGUACUGUACAGAGGCAGCUGUGCGCCCGGCCGAACCAGUGAAGCAGCAUUCGGGUCGCGGAAGAGGGGGCUGCAGUACGACCCCGAAGCAGGAACUCAUUGUGACCGGAGCUGAACUCCGGUAUUGUGCACUGGAUGGAGUCACUUGGUGUCCAUGUACUCUUCCUUAUGGGAAAAAAAAAAAAAAAAUCGGAAACACAGAGUGCAGCCCAGACCAAAGAAGAUACAGAGAAAGACUGGAGCGGUGAGUAUGCCAUAUUUUACAGAACCUCUCUCAGAAACUCAACAAAUUAGCAACACACAUUACUGUGGAUGUUGUCAAUGCGGAACACGUGUUUCAGUUUGUAAUAUAGCAUUGCAAGUGUUAUGGACACAUACAAUGGGGAGAGACACUGAAUCUUCGGUACGUUAGCAGUGGAGUCACAGCAUGCUUUUAAUGUCCUGCAUUAAAAAGGAAAUUGUUUAUGUCAUUUUAGGGCUGGACGAGACUACUAAAGCCUAAAAAAUCUGGAUUUGUAUCAACUACAUUUAGAACCAGCCUGCAGAUCUUCUGUCCAUUUAGAGAUGAGAGUGGAGACUCUUCUUUAAAGUCUAGCGUCAAGGGGCUUAUAUUAUAAUAAGCCUACCUGCAACCGAAGCAAUCCAUUACUUCUUCAAAGAGGUGUAUCACCCAGGAUUGUGCUUAUUUUGCUAACAUUUUGGACUGCGUCUAAUUACUUCUGUCCUACCGUAACCCCCCCGCCCAGUCUGGUGAGAUGGACCGGCCUGCCGGGCCGCUCUCCAGGCUGGAGGUGGACGUGGAUCUGGGUUUCGCCCUGUUCUUCCUCUUCCUCCUCUGCUUCUUCCUGCUGGUCACCAUGAUCCGCUGCGCACAGAUGGUCAGGGACCCAUACGGAUCCAUCUCCACCUCCACGUACCAAGAGGAGCAGAUCACCAACUGAGGAGAGACUCCCUCCCCCCAUACACACACACUAGUGCACACACACACACACACACACUCACUCAAUGACACACCCACACACACACACACACACACACACACAAACACUCACUCGCACACUCACACUCACACACACACACUCACACUUGACACGUACACGCAAGCACACUCGCACACACCCACACACACACUCAUACACACGUACACACACAUACCCUCCGGGUGCCAGUCCAUUCAUAACCACCUGGGUUACCAUGGCUAUGGUGCCCAGGGGCUCCUGUAAACCAACUCCUCAUGCAGGACACUGAAAAUAAUUCCUGAUCUUGGGUAUGUUGUCGUACAAACCCCUGGAUUUAAUGCAUGUUGAUUCAAAAGGACUGAACAGUUAGUGACUGCCAAUAAGUUUACUUAUGGUUCUCAGAAUUCAUCUGUACUUCAUACCAUUAUAUCGAACCAUAGGACAGUGGAAUCCCAGCGAUGUCUUAACUAAUACUUUGCAUAUGCAUUCAUUUAUUUUUUUUAAUCCUGUGAUAAAAUGUUUUUUUCAGGAAAACCUCAAAUAAAGAUAAGCACAGCCUUGUUUACUGAA